GUUCUGUGCAGGCAGAUGAGUGUCACAGCUGUAGCUGAAGCACAGAGCAAUAAACAUAGUGGAGCCAAUUUCUACGAUGGCGAGAGGGAGCACCGGAGAUGACAACAAUGACAAGACCGCGACAAGUUCUAGCGCUGAGUAUCCUCAAGAAAAUGGGUUCCAUAAGAAGUGACAUCCUCCUCGAAGAGCAAGUGUCAAACUCUGACAAAAAAGAGAAGAAAACAAGGAGAGACUAUACAUGUCACUCACACCGGCUGAGAGGGAAGCUGACAGCAGAGCAAGAAUUGGAUGACGAAGGAGUAAAUGUACCCUCACUUGAAAAAGAACUCUUCUCUUUCCAGCUAUAUAUAACAUAUCCAUUGUAAACUGGGCAAGACUAUUAAUAGUAAUAAUUAUAAUAGCACCUUGCACUUGUCUAGUGCCAUCUAACAUACAAAGUCUUCCUCAUUCAUUUCAUCUCUUUGACAGUUUCAUCAAUUCGUGAGCAAGGAGCUUGUUACUGCCUCGUUAUAUCCCAUCCCUGCUGUUGCUUGCACUCUUUCCAAAUCUGGUGCAAGUCAGAGAUGUAGAAGGGCUCUCAACCUGUGCACCACCCACAUGUUUGGGCCACAUGCUUGCUGAUUUGUUAGAAUGUGGGGAUAUGGCCGGCGCCGCGGCUCACUA
rnacentral:lncRNA from 1 species